rnacentral:misc_RNA from 1 species
GAUGAAGAACGCAGCGAAAUGCGAUAAGUAGUGUGAAUUGCAGAAUUUAGUGAAUCAUCGAAUCUUUGAACGCACAUUGCGCCCUAUAGUAUUCUGUAGGGCAUGCCUGUUCGAGCGUUAUUGAGACCUCAAGCUCUGCUUGGAAAUGGGCGCUUGUCUUGCCUUGCAGACUCGCCUUAAAACCAUUGGCAGCUGAUUUACAAUGUUUGGUGCACAGUACAUGAGCCCAAGUGUUGCAAUGAGUGGCCCAAAAGUAUACAAUAGAAGCUUAACCUCGUAUCAGGUAGGGAUACCCGCUGAACUUAAGCAUAUCAAUAAGCGGAGGA